UACGGAGGGUGCAAGCGUUAUCCGGAUUCACUGGGUUUAAAGGGUGCGUAGGUGGGUUUGUAAGUCAGUGGUGAAAUCUCCGUGCUUAACAUGGAAACUGCCAUUGAUACCAUAGAUCUUGAAUUUUCUGGAGGAUAGCGGAAUAUGUCAUGUAGCGGUGAAAUGCUUAGAUAUGACAUAGAACACCAAUUGCGAAGGCAGCUAUCUACAGGGAUAUUGACACUGAGGCACGAAAGCGUGGGGAUCAAACAGG
rnacentral:rRNA from 1 species